GAUCCCAGCAAUAUAAUCCAAUGUUAAGUGGAAAUAUGCAGUCCAAUAAAUCUGCUACUGGAGCCCUUGCAGCCAGUGACAGUGGUGGUGCUCGUACACAUCCAAGUGGCAACAGUAUGGGAGCAUUGUCUGGGCUUAAUAGAGGCAUGACAAUGGCAAGGCCUGGGUUUCAGGGAAUAGCAUCAUCAUCUAUGCUUUCUUCUG
rnacentral:misc_RNA from 1 species